rnacentral:rRNA from 1 species
GAAGCAGCCACCCUUUAAAGAAAGCGUAAUAGCUCACUAGUCGAGUCGGCCUGCGCGGAAGAUGUAACGGGGCUAAAACUAUGUGCCGAAGCUGCGGAUUUGACAUUAGUCAAGUGGUAGGGGAGCGUUCUGUAAGCCGAUGAAGGUGUAUUGAGAAGUAUGCUGGAGGUAUCAGAAGUGCGAAUGCUGACGUGAGUAACGACAAAACGGGUGAAAAACCCGUUCGCCGAAAGACCAAGGGUUCCAGUCCAACGUUAAUCGGGGCUGGGUGAGUCGACCCCUAAGGCGAGGCCGAAAGGCGUAGUCGAUGGGAAAAUGGUUAAUAUUCCAUUACUUCUGUGUAAUGCGAUGAGAGGACGGAGAAGGCUAAAUCAGCCUGGCGUUGGUUGUCCAGGUGAAAGGAUGUAGGCAUGUAUCUUAGGCAAAUCCGGGGUACUCUAUGCUGAGAUCUGAUAGCAAGCUGUACUUGUACAGCGAAGUGGUUGAUGCCAUGCUUCCAGGAAAAGUCUCUAAGCUUCAGUUACACAGGAAUCGUACCCGAAACCGACACAGGUGGUCAGGUCGAGUAGACCAAGGCGCUUGAGAGAACUCUGCUGAAGGAACUAGGCAAAAUGGUACCGUAACUUCGGGAGAAGGUACGCUGUUGUUGGUGAUGGAACUCGCUUCCUGAGCUGACGACAGCCGCAGAAACCAGGCCGCUGCAACUGUUUAUUAAAAACAUAGCACUCUGCAAACACGAAAGUGGACGUAUAGGGUGUGAUGCCUGCCCGGUGCUGGAAGGUUAAUUGAUGGGGUUAGCGUAAGCGAAGCUCUUGAUCGAAGCCCCAGUAAACGGCGGCCGUAACUAUAACGGUCCUAAGGUAGCGAAAUUCCUUGUCGGGUAAGUUCCGACCUGCACGAAUGGCAUAAUGAUGGCGGCGCUGUCUCCAGCAGAGGCUCAGUGAAAUCGAAAUCGCUGUGAAGAUGCAGUGUACCCGCGGCUAGACGGAAAGACCCCGUGAACCUUUACUGCAGCUUGACACUGAACUUUGACCUUACUUGUGUAGGAUAGGUGGGAGGCUUUGAAGCUGGAACGCUAGUUCCAGUGGAGCCGUCCUUGAAAUACCACCCUGGUAAUGUUGAGGUUCUAACUCUGUCCCGUGAUCCGGGACGAGGACCGUGUCUGGUGGGUAGUUUGACUGGGGCGGUCUCCUCCUAAAGAGUAACGGAGGAGUACGAAGGUGCGCUCAGCGUGGUCGGAAAUCACGCGUAGAGUAUAAAGGCAAAAGCGCGCUUAACUGCGAGACCCACAAGUCGAGCAGGUACGAAAGUAGGUCUUAGUGAUCCGGUGGUUCUGUAUGGAAGGGCCAUCGCUCAACGGAUAAAAGGUACUCUGGGGAUAACAGGCUGAUACCGCCCAAGAGUUCAUAUCGACGGCGGUGUUUGGCACCUCGAUGUCGGCUCAUCUCAUCCUGGGGCUGAAGCAGGUCCCAAGGGUAUGGCUGUUCGCCAUUUAAAGAGGUACGCGAGCUGGGUUUAGAACGUCGUGAGACAGUUCGGUCCCUAUCUACCGUGGGCGCUGGAAAUUUGAGAGGAUCUGCUCCUAGUACGAGAGGACCAGAGUGGACGAACCUCUGGUGUACCGGUUGUGACGCCAGUCGCAUCGCCGGGUAGCUAUGUUCGGAAGGGAUAACCGCUGAAAGCAUCUAAGCGGGAAGCCUACCUCAAGAUAAGAUUUCCCUAGGACUUUAUGUCCUCUAAAGAGCCGUUCGAGACUAGGACGUUGAUAGGUUGGAUGUGGAAGCAUAGUGAUAUGUGAAGCUGACCAAUACUAAUUGCUCGUGAGGCUUGACUAU